rnacentral:rRNA from 1 species
CCCUUAGACGUUCUGGGCCGCACGCGCGCUACACUGACGAAGGCAACGAGCUUUCCUUUACCGAAAGGUACGGGUAAUCUUUUGAAACUUCGUCGUGCUGGGGAUAGAUCCUUGCAAUUUUUGAUCUUAAACGAGGAAUGCCUAGUAAGCGCAAGUCAUCAACUUGCGUUGAUUACGUCCCUGCCCUUUGUACACAUCGCCCGUCGCUACUACCGAUUGAAUGGUUUAGUGAGGCCUUCGGAUCCGCGACUCGUUUGUGGAGAAGUUGGACAAACUCAGUCAUUUAGAGGAAGUAAAAGUCGUAACA